GUUGAAGUAGUUUAAUUAAAACCUUAGAUUGUGAUUCUAAAAAUAAAGGUUCAACCCCUUUCAUCCACC
rnacentral:tRNA from 1 species